UUUUAAACCCUCUAUCAGUGGUAGAGGAGCAUUGUAUUAGGGAAGAAGCCUAAGCGAAAGCAAGCGUGGACUUAAUACAAGAGAGAAUGCUGGCAUGAGUAGCGAGAAGGAGUGUGAGAAUCACUCCCGUCGAAACCCUAAGGACUCCUGAGCAAGGCUCGUCCCCUCAGGGAAAGUCGGGACCUAAGGCGAGGCCGAAAGGCGUAGUCGAUGGCCAACAGGUCUAUAUUCCUGUACCGCUCAAAGUCGCUAAAGAGACGUGAUAACGCAAGAGGAUAAGCUAGCUGCCCGAUGGAUGGCAGUCUAAAUGCAAAGCCUAGUGUGUAGGCAAAUCCGCACACUACAAGGGUAAUGCAUGAUAGGCAUCGAAAACAUGAGUAGAGAAAUAGCCCAUUUCAAAUUGCCAAGAAAAGUCACUAUCAAUGACAAGAGCGCCCGUACCAAAACCGACACAGGUAGGGAGGUAGAGAAUACCAAGACGCGCGGAAGAACCUUUGUUAAGGAACUCGGCAAAAUGUCCCCGUAACUUCGGGAGAAGGGGAGCCAUAGCGAUAUGGCCACAGAAACCAGGCCCAAGCGACUGUUUACCAAAAACACAAGUUUCUGCAAAAUCGUAAGAUGAAGUAUAGGAGCUGACACCUGCCCGGUGCUGGAAGGUUAAGGGGAAGGCUUAGCGUAAAGCGAAGGCUAGAACUUAAGCCCCAGUAAACGGCGGCCGUAACUAUAACGGUCCUAAGGUAGCGAAAUUCCUUGUCGGGUAAGUUCCGACCCGCACGAAAGGUGUAACGAUUUGGGCACUGUCUCAACAAAGGAUCCGGUGAAAUUGUAGUAGUCGUGAAGAUGCGACUUACCCACGCUAGGACGGAAAGACCCCGUGGAGCUUUACUGUAGGCUGAUAUUGGAUUUUGAGAUUAGAUGUACAGGAUAGUUGGGAGGCAAAGAAACAUGUACGCCAGUAUGUGUAGAGCCAGUGUUGGGAUACCAACCUUCUAAUAUCAGAAUUCUAACUUUGACCCUUAAUCAGGGCAAAGGACAUUGUCAGUUGGGCAGUUUGACUGGGGCGGUCGCCUCCUAAAAAGUAACGGAGGCGUUCAAAGGUUCGCUCAGAAUGGACGGAAACCAUUCGAAGAGUACAAAGGCACAAGCGAGCUUAACUGCGAGAGAUACAGCUCAAGCAGAGUAGAAAUACGGACUUAGUGAUCCGGUGGCACCGCAUGGAAGGGCCAUCGCUCAACGGAUAAAAGCUACCCCGGGGAUAACAGGCUUAUCUCCCCCAAGAGUCCACAUCGACGGGGAGGUUUGGCACCUCGAUGUCGGCUCGUCUCAUCCUGGGGCUGAAGUAGGUCCCAAGGGUUGGGCUGUUCGCCCAUUAAAGAGGCACGCGAGCUGGGUUCAGAACGUCGUGAGACAGUUCGGUCCCUAUCCAGCGUGGGCGUAAGAAAUUUGCGAGGACCUGUCCUUAGUACGAGAGGACCGGGAUGGACAUACCACUGGUGUAUGAGUUGUUCCGCCAGGAGCAUAGCUCAGUAGCUAAGUAUGGAAUUGAUAAGUACUGAAAGCAUCUAAGUACGAAGCAACCCUCAAGAUAAGAUUUCUAAGAGUACGUAAAGAAAAUACGUUUGAUAGGUCCAAGGUGUAAGUGCAGUAAUGUAUUAAGCUAAUGGAUACUAAACUUUAUAUACUUGACUGG
rnacentral:rRNA from 2 species